AAAGGAUAAUUAAUAUGAUUCUCAACAAGGUUUGUCUGUAUUACUUCAAUGUUGAGAAUCAUAUUAAUUAUCCUUUGUUUCACUAUUAGAUAAAAGUUUGACUAGUUUCACAUCAAGUUAUAAUUCAUUCUAUGAACUUCAGUCAUAGAGCACAAUGAAGAAAAUGGACAGCUAAAACUGAAUGUUUACAUUUUGUAUACCAUCAUAUAAAUGCUUUUGAUGUCUCCAUGAUGGAUCUUGAAGGUGGUAUGACCAAGACCCCACAAGAUAUUUUUAUAAAUCAAUGCAAGAUUAUCUGAAUAUCCUACUCUUACAAGUUACAACCCUUCACCUGCCCUUUGCAGAACUCUUCGAAGUUCAUCAGCCAUUCCUUGUAAGAGAACAGGUUUUCGAAUCACUCCAUUCAUUCCCAUCUG
rnacentral:misc_RNA from 1 species